AGGAGAGGAGAGGAGAGGAGAGGAGAGGAGAUACAAGUUGCUGUGCUGAAAGACCUGAUUAUGCUGGACCAAGCACGAAAUCUAUUAUGGAGAGAAUCCUGUUCUUGGGUCUGGAUAAAGCACAAAAUCUCUCUUCUUCCUUUGGAUAGCACAACACAGCUUUGUGUCAUCUGUGUAAAGGACACCAGCCCUUAGCAGCCUCCAGGAAUCAUCUCAGUGGGCUGACUGAUGUCCACCUGCUUGGUCUCUGAACACAGCUCAGAAAUGUCACAUCCACAUCCUCCUUGCCUGCUGAGUGCCACGCAGACACAGUGUGGCGAGGACACCUGAUGGGUUGUGCUGGCUCUGUGCUCAGCAGGGUGAGAUUUACUGCCUGUUGUGUGCAGCACUGCACCCAUUAAUGGCUGGUGCACGGUCCUGGGGUGGCUCCAAUGCCUUACCAUUUUCUGGUAAGGAGACCCAGUCCAAGAUCCAUUGAUGUUGUGUGCUAGGCUGAGAUUCCAGCUGGUGGUUUUGCUUUCCACAUCCCUUGAUCUUGGAAGACCCUCAUCAGGCUUCUCCCUGGGGAUGCUGGUAGUUCAUAACCCUGAGGUGGAGAGUGUCUGGAAUGCCAGGCUGUGUGCAGUAUGGCCCUUACCCCCAGUGACUUGCUUGGGUCUGCCUUCAGUGCCUCGGCCAUGGGAUCAGAGAAGGACCAGCACUAACACAAGGAAUGGGGCAGGACAUCCUGACCAAGUCACAGUGGCCUCAGCCUGGUCCUGUUGAAGGUGUCAUGAAACUGCCCUAUAUGUCUGAUCCUCCUUAAAGAGUAAUUCAGCAUUCCAGAGUGAGCAGCUAAACAACAAAUUUAAUUUGAUUUUCUACUGUGUCCUCUCUCUCAUGUGCUCCUAUUCGUCCAUGGACCCCAUUCACUCUCCUCAGCCUCCUGCUUCUGCUGUGGUUGAAAGUGUCCCAUCAUUCCAUUUUAUGCUUUUAGCAAGUUGCUUUUCAUUUUCUUGCUCUUUAUUGUUCUUUCACAUCCACUUUAUCAGACUGUGUUCUUUUGCAUCUUCCUUAACUCCUUAUCUUAUAAAGAAAUUAUUUUUAAAUCUCAGAAGUGUUACAUGGUUCAAUCAUGUUGGCUUAUUUUUUCUUUCUGCUUUGAGUAUUUUUUAUUUGAUGAGGAGUCUGCUGUAUAGUGUCCCUAAAUAAUCUGAUGUUAUCUAAAAGUGCUUUACUAGUUUUAGCUACUGAUUUCAAUGAAUUUCAUCACUUCUAUGUGAUUUCCCUUUUUAAAGUUAAACAUUUAGCUUGAUAUUCAGUCUUUGUAGUUCUUCUGAGAACCUGAGUCACUUUCAUCUUUCUCUCUCUGGCAUGAACUGUUCUGACAUUUAUACUGUCUAAACCUGGUAUAAUAGUAUUUUACCAAUUAGCUUUUUCUAGAAAGUUUCUCAGAUAUAUAGAUUGCCCAUAUACUUCUUUGAAUUCCAGCAUUCCUAGUUCAUCAUCUCUUAUUUUCAGAUCACUGCCAUUUGUACCAAAAUGGUUUUAAUGGAUGUGAUGCCAAAAUACCAGGAAUUUGCAAGGAGCAGGACUGAGCUGUGUUAAACCAGCAGAUUAAUUAAAAUUAAAAUUUGCGGACUAGCAGCAAA